UCUCUGGUAGUAUAUCGGAUAGUACAUCCGCCUGUCACUGAAGCCCGGUGGCUUGGGAUUCGCGGAAGAGCGGGGUUCGACUCCCCGCCAGAGAG